CCAUGAAUAUUCUUACUGUUCUGACUGUAAUAAUCAGGACAGGCUAAACAAUCACUAUAAUAAUACCACUCAUUGUGUUCCCCAGACCCAGUUCUUUACCCAGGUUUGCUAUUAUAAAUGCAUGCAAUAAAC